rnacentral:tRNA from 1 species
GAUUUUUUAGUCAAUGAUGAUUUUAAAUUGCAAAUUUAAAGGUAUUAAAUUAAUAAAAAUUU